GAUGAACGCUGGCGGCGUGCCUAACACAUGCAAGUCGAACGAAGCACCUUACCUGAUUCUUCGGAUGCAAGUUUGGUGACUGAGUGGCGGACGGGUGAGUAACGCGUGGGUAACCUUCCCUGUACAGGGGGAUAACAGCUGGAAACGGCUGCUAAUUCCGCAUAAGCGCACUAGGAUACAUCUCCUUGUUUUUAAAGCUCCGGUUGUACAGGUUGGCGCCGCGUCUGAUUAGCUGGUUGGCAGGGUAACGGCCUACCAAGGCAACGACCAGUAGCCGGUCUGAGAGGAUGAACGGCCACACUGGAACUGAGACACGGUCCAAAAUCUUACGGGAGGGAGCAGUGGGGAAUAUUGCACAAUGGGGGAAAUGCUGAAGCAGCAACGACGGGUGAGUGAAGAAGUAUUUCGGUAUGUAAAGUUCAAUCAGCAGGGCAGAUAAUGACGGUACCUGACUAAGAAGCCCCGGCUAAAUACGUG
rnacentral:rRNA from 1 species